rnacentral:rRNA from 1 species
GACGAACGCUGGCGGCGUGCUUAACACAUGCAAGUCGAACGGAAAGGCCCUGCUUUUGUGGGGUGCUCGAGUGGCGAACGGGUGAGUAACACGUGAGUAACCUGCCCUUGACUUUGGGAUAACUUCAGGAAACUGGGGCUAAUACCGGAUAGGAGCUCCUGCUGCAUGGUGGGGGUUGGAAAGUUUCGGUGGUUGGGGAUGGACUCGCGGCUUAUCAGCUUGUUGGUGGGGUAGUGGCUUACCAAGGCUUUGACGGGUAGCCGGCCUGAGAGGGUGACCGGCCACAUUGGGACUGAGAUACGGCCCAGACUCCUACGGGAGGCAGCAGUGGGGAAUAUUGCACAAUGGGCGGAAGCCUGAUGCAGCAACGCCGCGUGCGGGAUGACGGCCUUCGGGUUGUAAACCGCUUUCGCCUGUGACGAAGCGUGAGUGACGGUAAUGGGUAAAGAAGCACUGGCUAACUACGUG